UACGUAGGGUGCAAGCGUUAUCCGGAAUUAUUGGGCGUAAAGAGCUCGUAGGCGGUUUGUCGCGUCUGCUGUGAAAAACCCGAGGCUCAACCUCGGGCCUGCAGUGGGUACGGGCAGACUAGAGUGCGGUAGGGGAGAUUGGAAUUCCUGGUGUAGCGGUGGAAUGCGCAGAUAUCAGGAGGAACACCAAUGGCGAAGGCAGAUCUCUGGGCCGUAACUGACGCUGAGGAGCGAAAGCAUGGGGAGCGAACAGG
rnacentral:rRNA from 1 species